AUGGAGAUGGUGGAGAAGCUUUCUCUCACCACAAGACCACAUCUACAUCCUUACUACAUCCAAUGGUUCAACAACAGCGGCAAGGUUAAGGUAACACGUACUGUUCGUGUGCAUUUUAGUAUAUCUACAUAUGCUGAUUAUGUUGAUUGUGAUGUGGUACCUAUGCAAGCAUGUUCCUUAUUACUUGGUAGACCAUGGCAAUUUGAUAAAAAUUCUGUACACCAUGGUACAAACAAUCACUAUACUCUUGUUCAUAAGGAUAAAAAUAUUACUUUGCUUCCUAUGACUCCUGAUUCCAUUUUGAAAGAUGAUAUUAAUAGAGCUAAUAAAGCAAAACAGGAGACGAAUAAGAGUGAAAAUCAGAUUGUGGCAAAAGAAUUUGAGCAGCAAAUGAAGCCUAAUAAUAAACCAUCUAGUGUUGCUUCUGAAAUUAAAUUGAAAAGUGCAUGUUUAUUUGCCACCAAAUCGGAUAUUGAUGAGCUAGAUUUCAGCAAAUCUGUUUGCUAUGCUUUUGUGUGCAAAGAGGCAUUAUUUUCAUUCGAGGACGUGCCUUCCUCUUUGCCUCCUGCUGUCACUAACAUUUUGCAGGAGUUCGCUGACGUUUUUCCACAAGACGUGCCACCGGGAUUACCGCCUAUUCGAGGGAUUGAGCAUCAGAUCGACUUAAUUCCCGGUGCUUCACUGCCAAACCGUGCACCAUACCGUACCAAUCCAGAGGAGACGAAGGAGAUUAUGCGUCAAGUACAAGAGCUUCUCGACAAAGGUUAUAUACGCGAAUCCCUUAGUCCUUGUGCUGUUCCUAUUAUUCUAGUGCCGAAAAAGGAUGGUACAUCACGUAUGUGUGUUGAUUGUAGAGGCAUUAAUAAUAUUACUAUUCGUUAUCGUCAUCCUAUUCCUAGGCUAGAUGAUAUGCUUGAUGAAUUGAGUGGCUCUACAAUAUUCUCCAAAGUUGAUUUACGUAGUGGAUACCAUCAAAUUCGUAUGAAAUUGGGAGAUGAAUGGAAAACAGCAUUCAAAACUAAGUUUGGAUUAUAUGAGUGGUUAGUCAUGCCUUUUGGGUUAACUAAUGCACCUAGUACUUUCAUGAGAUUAAUGAACGAAGUUUUACGUGCUUUCAAUGGACGAUUUGUGGUAGUUUACUUUGAUGACAUAUUGAUUUAUAGCAGAUCUUUGGAAGAACAUUUGGAACAUUUACGUGCUGUUUUUAUUGCUCUACGUGAUGCACGUUUGUUUGGUAACCUUGGGAAGUGCACCUUUUGCACCGACCGAGUAUCUUUUCUUGGCUAUGUUGUUACUCCACAGGGAAUUGAAGUUGAUAAAGCCAAGAUUGAAGCUACUGAGAGUUGGCCGCAACCCAAAACGGUCACACAAGUGAGGAGUUUUCUUGGCCUCGCUGGAUUCUAUAGGCGUUUUGUGAGAGAUUUCAGCACCAUUGCUGCACCUCUCAAUGAGCUUACAAAGAAAGAUGUGCCUUUUCUUUGGGGUACCGCACAGGAAGAUGCCUUCACGGUAUUGAAAGAUAAGUUGACACAUGCUCCUUUACUCCAACUUCCUGAUUUUAAUAAGACUUUUGAGCUUGAAUGUGAUGCUAGUGGAAUUGGAUUAGGAGGUGUGUUAUUACAAGAUGGCAAACCUGUUGCAUACUUUUCUGAAAAAUUGAGUGGGCCUAGUCUGAAUUAUUCUACUUAUGAUAAAGAAUUAUAUGCUCUUGUUCGGACUUUAGAAACAUGGCAACAUUAUUUAUGGCCCAAAGAAUUUGUUAUACAUUCUGAUCAUGAAUCUUUGAAACAUAUUAAAAGUCAAGCUAAACUGAAUCGUAGACAUGCUAAAUGGGUUGAAUUCAUUGAGACUUUCCCUUAUGUCAUUAAACACAAGAAGGGAAAAGAAAAUGUUAUUGCUGAUGCAUUGUCUCGUCGCUAUACUAUGCUUUCACAACUUGACUUCAAAAUAUUUGGUUUGGAGACCAUCAAAGAUCAAUAUGUGCAUGAUGAUGAUUUUAAAGAUGUAAUGCAGAAUUGUAAAGAAGGAAGAAUGUGGAACAAGUUUGUUGUUAACAAUGGAUUUGUGUUUCGUGCUAACAAGCUAUGCAUUCCAGCUAGCUCCGUUCGUCUUUUGUUGUUGCAGGAGGCGCAUGGAGGAGGAUUAAUGGGACACUUUGGCGUGAAGAAGACGGAGGACGUACUUGCUACACAUUUCUUUUGGCCAAAGAUGAGACGGGAUGUUGAGCGUUUUAUUGCUCGCUGCACUACAUGUCAAAAAGCUAAGUCACGACUCAAUCCUCAUGGUUUAUAUAUGCCUUUGCCUGUACCUAGUGUUCCUUGGGAGGAUAUAUCUAUGGACUUUGUUUUAGGUUUACCUCGAACAAAGAAGGGGAGGGAUAGCAUAUUUGUUGUCGUGGAUAGAUUCUCGAAAAUGGCACACUUUAUACCAUGUCAUAAAAGUGAUGAUGCUGUUAAUGUUGCUGAUUUGUUCUUUCGUGAAAUUAAUCGUGAUACUAAAUUUCUUAGCCAUUUUUGGAGAUGUUUAUGGGCGAAGUUGGGGACUAAACUGCUUUUUAGUACUACUCGUCACCCCCAAACUGAUGGACAAACUGAAGUAGUCAAUAGAACGUUGUCUACUAUGCUUAGGGCUGUUUUGAAGAAUAAUAAGAAAAUGUGGGAGGAAUACUUGCCUCAUAUUGAAUUUGCUUAUAAUCGUUCAUUGCAUUCUACUACUAAGAUGUGCCCUUUUGAAGUUGUGUAUGGUUUCCUACCUCGUGCACCUAUUGAUUUGUUGCCUCUUCCAUCUUCGGAGAAGGUUAAUUUUGAUGCUAAACAACGUGCUGAAUUGAUUUUAAAAAUGCAUGAGUUAACUAAGGAAAACAUUGAGCGUAUGAAUGCUAAAUAUAAACUUGCUGGAGAUAAGGGUAGAAAACAUGUUGUGUUUGCACCUGGAGAUCUUGUUUGGUUACAUUUGCGUAAGGAUAGAUUUCCUGAUUUGCGCAAAUCAAAGUUAAUGCCACGUGCUGAUGGUCCCUUUAAGGUGUUAGAGAAAAUAAAUGAUAAUGCAUAUAAACUUGAGCUGCCUGCAGAUUUUGGGGUUAGUCCCACUUUUAACAUUGCAGAUUUGAAGCCUUAUUUGGGUGAGCAAGAUGAACUUCCGUCGAGGACGACUUCAUUUCAAGAAGGGGAGGAUGAUGAGGACAUCAAUACAAUUGUUACACCCACAUCCCCUGCUGCCAUACAUACUGGACCAAUUACUAGAGCUCGUGAAACAGACCCUCGUGGUCAGGUUGAUCGUGCUCCGGCGUGGUCAAUAACCUCUCGGAGUUGGUUUAGCGAUUGCUAA
rnacentral:rRNA from 1 species